CGGGGUGUAGCGCAGUCUGGCUAGCGCACUAUCUUGGGGUGGUAGAGGUCGCGGGUUCAAGUCCCGUCACCCCGACCA
rnacentral:tRNA from 1 species